AAGCAACCCUGCUGUCAUCACACCACUGUAACGGACUAUACAGCAGGAGAUGAGUGAUUACUGAAAGGACUAUAGCUCAGCCGUUCAGAGAACUGUCUUCUCUAGUGACGAUGUCUCUGGGAGAACUUUCCGACUCACCACAAACCACUGUAUCGUCAAUGAACUGACUCACAGCACAGAGCCGUCUUCUCACAGCGGAAGGAUGGACAGAAGCACCUGUGAAUUGUUUUCUGAAGCAAGAGUGGAGCUCGUUUUUCAUGCUUUUUGAAGGGCCCAUAUCACAGAUGACAUUUUUCUUGCUUUUUUUGAAAUACAAGAGUUUGACACAAGUUUCAAAAGUAUCUAUCAAUGUAUGUGUGUGUGGUGUCUUUAAGCUGGAAAAUUGAAAUUAUGUAAAAAUGAAUCAUGACUACUUUUGGCACAUAAAAACAUACAUACUUUAUAAGUGAAUACAAAUACUAGAAAAAUGAAGGGCAUGGGCCUGUUUACUACUUUUUAUCUGACAGUGACAGUUUUGGUUUUGAUUUUUUUUUAAAUCCAAUUUUGGAAACACUUUAUUUUUACUUCUUUUUA